UCGUACAGGUCUCCGUAGGUGAACCUGCGGAGGGAUCAUUACAAGAACGCCCGGGCUUCGGCCUGGUUAUUCAUAACCCUUUGUUGUCCGACUCUGUUGCCUCCGGGGCGACCCUGCCUUCGGGCGGGGGCUCCGGGUGGACACUUCAAACUCUUGCGUAACUUUGCAGUCUGAGUAAACUUAAUUAAUAAAUUAAAACUUUUAACAACGGAUCUCUUGGUUCUGGCAUCGAUGAAGAACGCAGCGAAAUGCGAUAAGUAAUGUGAAUUGCAGAAUUCAGUGAAUCAUCGAAUCUUUGAACGCACAUUGCGCCCCCUGGUAUUCCGGGGGGGCAUGCCUGUUCGAGCGUCAUUUCACCACUCAAGCCUCGCUUGGUAUUGGGCAACGCGGUCCGCCGCGUGCCUCAAAUCGUCCGGCUGGGUCUUCUGUCCCCUAAGCGUUGUGGAAACUAUUCGCUAAAGGGUGUUCGGGAGGCUACGCCGUAAAACAACCCCAUUUCUAAGGUUGACCUCGGAUCAGGUAGGGAUACCCGCUGAACUUAAGCAUAUCA
rnacentral:rRNA from 1 species